rnacentral:lncRNA from 12 species
UUUACUUCCACCGUCUCUCCAUCAAACCCAAACUCCACAUGGGACCCAAGGCUCUUUGUGACCUGGCGCAGUGCACCCAGGCCAGCUUUCUCCCCUGCUCCUUAGGUCCCCGCUUUACCGAAUUACACGGAGUGGAGGACUCAAAAUUUUGAGGACUCAAAAUUGUGCUCGCCUCACAAUUUUGUACGUGUUGCUCCACCAGCUCCCAUUGUCCCCCUCCCUCCUCAUCAGCCUCUCACCCCUGCACACAUUCUCUCUUUCGGUCUGGUCACAAGGCACAGCAGCUCCCAGGAACGUCACAGAGGCUACGGGACUAGAGGACUCUGUCUGCAAUGGAUGUUUGCAUACGCUUAGAGGAGGGAUGUACAUACUUAGAGAAGCUAGAAGAGCAGCGGUCAGGAAAAACGAAGAAAACUCGUUAGUAGCUCAAAAGAGACCAUGAAGUCAAAUAAAGCCUAGAGAUAUUCUCA